GACGAACGCUGGCGGCGUGCUUAACACAUGCAAGUCGAACGGAAAGGCCCUGCUUUUGUGGGGUGCUCGAGUGGCGAACGGGUGAGUAACACGUGAGUAACCUGCCCUUGACUUUGGGAUAACUUCAGGAAACUGGGGCUAAUACCGGAUAGGAGCUCCUGCUGCAUGUUGGGGGUUGGAAAGUUUCGGCGGUUGGGGAUGGACUCGCGGCUUAUCGGCUUGUUGGUGGGGUAGUGGCUUACCAAGGCUUUGACGGGUAGCCGGCCUGAGAGGGUGACCGGCCACAUUGGGACUGAGAUACGGCCCAGACUCCUACGGGAGGCAGCAGUGGGGAAUAUUGCACAAUGGGCGGAAGCCUGAUGCAGCAACGCCGCGUGCGGGAUGACGGCCUUCGGGUUGUAAACCGCUUUCGCCUGUGACGAAGCGUGAGUGACGGUAAUGGGUAAAGAAGCACCGGCUAACUACGUG
rnacentral:rRNA from 1 species